UACGGAAGGCAGCAGUGGGGAAUAUUGCACAAUGGGCGAAAGCCUGAUGCAGCUAUGCCGCGUGUAUGAAGAAGGCCUUAGGGUUGUAAAGUACUUUCAUCGGGGAGGAAAAAACAAAACUAAUAAUUUUAUUUCUUGACGUUACCCGAAAAAGAAGCACCGGCUAACUCCGUGCCAGCAGCCGCGGUAAUACGGAGGGUGCUAGCGUUAAUCAGAAUUACUGGGCGUAAAGAGCACGUAGGUGGUUUUUUAAGUCAGAUGUGAAAUCCCUGGGCUUAACCUAGGAACUGCAUUUUGAAACUGAAAUACUAGAGUAUCGUAGAGGGAGGUAGAAUUCUAGGUGUAGCGGUGAAAUGCGUAGAUAUCUGGAGGAAUACCUGUGGCGAAAGCGGCUUCCUAAACGAAUACUGACACUGAGGUGCGAAAGCGUUGGGGAGCAAACAGGGAUUAGAUACC
rnacentral:rRNA from 1 species